UUGGCUUCCUGAAGACCUCUUCAUCCUGCAGAAGGUGCAACUCCACAGCAUCCUGAGAGGUUGGACACAAGCUGCUGGGAGCACAAAGGAACCCUGCCUGCCAGGCUUGAGUGUCAGAAUCUGGGCUUUCACCUGCAGGGACCUCAGGCCUCCAUCAGCCAGGCUUGGAAAGAAUGAAUGGUGCCUCUCGGUGAAUUACUACAACCUGAAUCCUGUGACCCCACCUGUGAUGGCCCAAUGUUAUUGAAAUUACUGACUCCAUCCACUUAGCAAGUGGUAAAUACUCUGCAGGCAUAGAUUUGACUAAUGUGUUCUGUUCAGCGCCUAUUUCAACAGAUCUCAGCUGCAGGUUGCUUUCACCCCCGAAGGGACACAAUAGACCGUUAUCUGGCUACCACGGGGUACCUCGACAGUUCUGCCACCAUACACAAUCUUUGCAGGCAGGAUUUGAACUGCAUCUGACAUUCUCUAGGAGUACAGGUGUAACAUCACCCUGAAGACACCCUUCUUUCAGCAAAUUCAUUUGACACACUCAGGACAUUACUCACAAAGAACUCAUAGAAAAGGAUGGGGUUUGUGUUUCCACAUGGUGGGAUUAAACUAAAACAAAAAAGUAUGGGCCACUGCCCCAGGCAUAGUACAGGGAUCCACACCAAUUUCUGGCCAUUGUCUGGUCAGUUGAGGGAUGCUCCAUCCCU
rnacentral:lncRNA from 1 species